GUUGUUCUCCCACAAUGCAAUGCACAAAGGAAGUGGAGGAGCUGCUCACAGCUGGAAAACAUUAAAGUUAAUUGAGCCUGGUGGUGAAACAGCUUCAGAGAGAUCUAAAAAACAAGAAUUAAAUCUAUUAUCUAGUGUUAAAAAUGUUUCAAAGCAGUUAAUUGACGACCAACGUAGUAUUAAAUGAUUUUCUGAAAAUUCGGUUUGAAUGUGCACUACGUUUGGAUGGAAGUAUGACUACACAGCAUGAGAGCGACUCACUUCAGGAGAUGAAACCCCAAAUUAUAUGAAAGCUGAGAACAUUCAGCGGACAUCCCUAAAAGUGGCGUCCACGUCGCCGGGGAUGCCGCUCCAGUCCUGCAUGCUGCGCGGGUAGGCGGACUCGACCCGGUGCUCGCGGGGGCUGAACCUCCAGUAGCUGCCUGACUUGAAGAAGUAGGUGUUGUAGUUGGAGUCGUGGCCCCAGCGCAGCGCCGCCUGGAUCCUGGACACCGACAGACCCAACCUCCUGAUGGACUCCGGCCCUCUGAUCUGCAUCUCAGCGUCGAACACCCAGUAGUUCUCACCUGCUCGGAGACAUAAGAUGGUGAACAAUCGGACACCUCUUGUUGACGAACACUCACCCAUGUGGUUCCCGAGGGUCCACGACUCGUCGUAGUCAAAGUGGAUGUCGCCCUGUCGGUGUGUUUUGGGGAAGAAAGCGUGAGCGAGGAUCCCACCCGGGCCGUCGAAGGGAAGGUUGUCUCCGUGCCAGUACCUGCAGUGCUCCCACCUUGUGAAGUCGAUGCGGAUGUCGGCCUUCCCGCCGUGGACCUCGGUGAAGGUGAGCGGGGUGACGUCACUCCAGAUUUUCAGCGCUUCCCGAAAGACACGUCGGACCUUUUCCUCACCGAUCUGCCAGGGAAACCGCAUGAUCCUGCAGGAGAUCAAUGCAGAAUGAGUACAAUGAAAGAGACCCCAGGAGACACAGACAGAGAGGCAGCAGCCAGCAGAGGACUGCCAGACACUCGAUGGUGCCAAGGCCUUAGAUGAAUGAAACCCGGCACCCGUUUGUCAGAAUCAUAAUUUCAAGACUUAAUUUUCUAUGUACUAUAUAAACCCCUCCGGUUACAUGUUUUUUCCUGGAGUUCAUCAUUCAAUGUGUCUAAAAAUCUAGCAGAGUCAUUAUUUUCUCCACCAUGA